UAAAAAUAAUAUCGUAAGAUAAAAAUGAUUAAGUAUUAAACAAAUACCAUAAUUGAGUAAAUAAGUAAAUACAAUAAUAUUAUGUAACGGUAGAGCAGACAGCAGAAUACGACGAAUAAAAUAACCAAAAUAGCGUCAUGCUGUCUUAUAGUGUCCUUGAACAAUUAACGUAAUUCAGACACUAGGUGCGCUGUAUACUCAGUUCACAUACCACAAGCGUAAUUCACUCGCUUAUGGACUUAUUAUCAAUGCACUAUGCCGAUCUGAAAAACAAUUCUUAUUUACUAUUAAAUUCUACAUGUUUAAAUGAAGAAUGGCCAUGCAAAUUACAAACUAUAAAUGUUGUUCAACUUGUGAAAAAUCGUUUACUGGACCAAUUCCGUAUUAUCAACAUAUGAGAAGUAAAAAGCAUAAAAAUAAAGAAGAAUUGAAAAAUGCAAAUAUUCCUGUAUUUAAAGAUGAAUACUCCAGAAAUUAUGUAUUUUGUGAACCUUGUAGAAAGACAUUUACUGGAUACAAAUGCUAUGACCAACACUUGAACAGCAAAAACCAUCUAAAGCACUGCACGACACAAGAAAUUAUAUUAAAUAAAGAAAAUCGUAACAGCAUCACUGCAAUGUAACAGUAAUGAAAAGCUUUCAUUGUUGUGAAUUGAUCUCAUUAUCAAGAUCUAUUUUGGAAUGUGAUGGAUUUGAAAUGGUUGAAAAAGUGAAGAAUGUUAUGAAUGUGAAAAAUGUUAUGAAAAAGUGAAGAAUGGAAUGAUAGUAAAUAACAUUGAAACAAACAAAAUACUAUCUUACUAAUGCAGCUUCACUUAUUAUUAUCACAAUAAUAUAAAUUAAUAAUUAAUAAUUAUUA